UACGGAGGAUCCAAGCGUUAUCCGGAUUAUUGGGUUUAAAGGGUGCGUAGGUGGGAGAGUAAGUCAGAGGUGAAAGCUAGCAGCUUAACUGUUAAAUUGCCUUUGAUACUGCUUUUCUUGAGUAUAGUUGGCGUUGGCGGAAUGUGACAUGUAGCGGUGAAAUGCGUAGAUAUGUCACAGAACACCGAUCGCGAAGGCAGCUAACGAAGCUAUCACUGACACUGAUGCACGAAAGCGUGGGGAGCAAACAGG
rnacentral:rRNA from 1 species